CAAACUAAAGAUGGAGGUCCUUCUGCUGUAGUCCUGGGGAUCGACUCCAUACGGAUUUUACAGUUAGCCAGAGGCUGCUGUAACCCCAACUAGAGUGACCAGGAUCCUGUCUCUUUUAAGUCUCCAGGUCCCUGAAGGGGAGUGUUAGACACUGUAAUGUCAUCAUGGGACUGCUGUUUUGAGAUUUCACCCGAAAAUCUGGAUCUUUCAGUGAAGAUGGGCCCACAUUCUCCCUGGGAGACAGCCUGUCGGGCAGACGAUACAAUGCAGACCUUCCGUGCGUCCUGGAUCAAUCUAUGUUUAUUUGCUCCUGCCAUUUGUGUGGCUCUAUUGUUAAAAGAAGAGAAUAUGAGAGAAGAAAAGUUAUGCUCCGUAGAGGCUUUUCCAAUUAACUGUUUGAAGAGACUUUUAAAAAACGCCUAAGUGUGAGGUUAUUUGUAUACCUAAUUUCAUUUUUAUGUUACCCGUACUUUUAAGUGUAAUUUACCAAGGCUUAACACUUGUAUUCUUUCAGGGGCAUUACAAAGAGCAUUGCACAUUUAUUAUAGCCCUUUAAAUGGCUGUGUUUUAUUUAUAUAUUCUUUUAAAUGGUUAUUGAGUGGAUUUGGUGCUCUUCCUGUAGUUAAAGUGCAUGUUUUUUAUUGUACAUAAAUGGUAAAUAAUUGAUACCUGCCAUAUGCUUCUUUCCCUUCCUGAGUUCCCGUUCCCCUCUUCAUUCUCUCCCAUUCCCUGUUGCUAUUGGUUUCUGCCCUUAUCUUGCUCUCUAUCCUUUCUUCCCCUCUCUCUGCAGGUCUCCCCUGCUUUCAACACCAUUUUCCUUGCCUUUCAAUGUACUCAUUUGAGAGGGGUUUUUAUAUGGAUUCUUGAGACCAUUGCAUUACCCAGUAGGGGUGAAGGAGAGGGGGGUGCUAGGGCAUACAGCUUUUUAUUAGGUGAUGUCUGGAUCAAGAAUUUUAAAUAAGAGAGCAGUUUUAGAGAAUGUUGCCUGAAUUUUUUUUUCUUCCGAUCACUGA